rnacentral:misc_RNA from 1 species
UCGUGGAGCUGCGGCUCCUUCGAGGGAGAACCCUUGCCUUUUCGAGCACCUGUUUUGUUUCCUCGGCAGGCCCGCCUGCCAAUGGGGACCCCCUAAAAUCUUUGCAACAACCUGUACCUAUAAUCGUCUGAAUAAAAAAUCUAAAUCA